AUUGAACGCUGGCGGCAUGCCUUACACAUGCCAGUCGAACGGCAGCACGGGUGCUUGCACCUGGUGGCGAGUGGCGAACGGGUGAGUAAUACAUCGGAACAUGUCCUGUAGUGGGGGAUAGCCCGGCGAAAGCCGGAUUAAUACCGCAUACGAUCUACGGACGAAAGCGGGGGACCUUCGGGCCUCGCGCUAUAGGGUUGGCCGAUGGCUGAUUAGCUAGUUGGUGGGGUAAAGGCCUACCAAGGCGACGAUCAGUAGCUGGUCUGAGAGGACGACCAGCCACACUGGGACUGAGACACGGCCCAGACUCCUACGGGAGGCAGCAGUGGGGAAUUUUGGACAAUGGGCGAAAGCCUGAUCCAGCAAUGCCGCGUGUGUGAAGAAGGCCUUCGGGUUGUAAAGCACUUUUGUCCGGAAAGAAAUCCUUGGCCCUAAUACGGUCGGGGGAUGACGGUACCGGAAGAAUAAGCACCGGCUAACUACGUG
rnacentral:rRNA from 1 species